AGUCGAGGGGCAUCGGGGCGAGGAGCAAUCCUUGCCGCCGGCGACCGGCGCACGGGUGAGUAACGCGUAUGCGACCUGCCCGUUGCAGGGGGAUAAUCGGGAGAAAUCCCGUCUAAUACCGCGUAACGCCGCGGGGCUGCAUGGCCCUGCGGCCAAAGGAAGCGAUUCCGGCAACGGAUGGGCAUGCGUGACAUUAGCUAGUUGGCGGGGCAACGGCCCACCAAGGCGACGAUGUCUAGGGGUUCUGAGAGGAAGGUCCCCCACACUGGUACUGUGACACGGACCAGACUCCUACGGGAGGCAGCAGUGAGGAAUAUUGGUCAAUGGGCGCGAGCCUGAACCAGCCAAGUCGCGUGAGGGAUGACGGCCCUACGGGUUGCAAACCUCUUUUGUCGGGGAGCAAAUUCCGCCACGCGUGGCGGAGUCGAGAGUACCCGAAGAAAAAGCAUCGGCUAACUCCGUGCCAGCAGCCGCGGUAAUACGGAGGAUGCGAGCGUUAUCCGGAUUUAUUGGGUUUAAAGGGUGCGUAGGCGGACUGUCAAGUCAGCGGUAAAAUACGGGGGCUCAACCUCCGCCCGCCGUUGAAACUGACGGUCUUGAGUGGGCGAGAAGUAUGCGGAAUGCGUGGUGUAGCGGUGAAAUGCAUAGAUAUCACGCAGAACUCCGAUUGCGAAGGCAGCAUACCGGCGCCCAACUGACGCUGAAGCACGAAAGCGUGGGUAUCGAACAGGAUUAGAUACCCUGGUAGUCCACGCAGUAAACGAUGAAUACUAGCUGUCCGGGGCGAAUGGGCCCUGGGUGGCACAGCGAAAGCGUUAAGUAUUCCACCUGGGGAGUACGCCGGCCACGGUGAAACUCAAAGGAAUUGAC
rnacentral:rRNA from 1 species